GCAGUCGNCGGANGGCCUCUUCGGAGGUACUCGAGUGGCGAACGGGUGAGUAACACGUGGGUAAUCUGCCCUGCACUUCGGGAUAAGCCUGGGAAACUGGGUCUAAUACCGGAUAGGACCUUUUGGCGCAUGCCUUUUGGUGGAAAGCUUUUGCGGUGUGGGAUGGGCCCGCGGCCUAUCAGCUUGUUGGUGGGGUGACGGCCUACCAAGGCGACGACGGGUAGCCGGCCUGAGAGGGUGUCCGGCCACACUGGGACUGAGAUACGGCCCAGACUCCUACGGGAGGCAGCAGUGGGGAAUAUUGCACAAUGGGCGCAAGCCUGAUGCAGCGACGCCGCGUGGGGGAUGACGGCCUUUCGGGUUGUAAACCUCUUUCAGCAGGGACGAAGCGCAAGUGACGGUACCUGCAGAAGAAGCACCGGCCAACUACGUGCCAGCAGCCGCGGUAAUACGUAGGGUGCGAGCGUUGUCCGGAAUUACUGGGCGUAAAGAGCUCGUAGGUGGUUUGUCGCGUUGUUCGUGAAAACCGGGGGCUUAACCCUCGGCGUGCGGGCGAUACGGGCAGACUGGAGUACUGCAGGGGAGACUGGAAUUCCUGGUGUAGCGGUGGAAUGCGCAGAUAUCAGGAGGAACACCGGUGGCGAAGGCGGGUCUCUGGGCAGUAACUGACGCUGAGGAGCGAAAGCGUGGGGAGCGAACAGGAUUAGAUACCCUGGUAGUCCACGCCGUAAACGGUGGGUACUAGGUGUGGGUUUCCUUCCUUGGAAUCCGUGCCGUAGCUAACGCAUUAAGUACCCCGCCUGGGGAGUACGGCCGCAAGGCUAAAACUCAAAGGAAUUGACGGGGGCCCGCACAAGCGGCGGAGCAUGUGGAUUAAUUCGAUGCAACGCGAAGAACCUUACCUGGGUUUGACAUGCACAGGACGCCGGCAGAGAUGUCGGUUCCCUUGUGGCCUGUGUGCAGGUGGUGCAUGGCUGUCGUCAGCUCGUGUCGUGAGAUGUUGGGUUAAGUCCCGCAACGAGCGCAACCCUUGUCUCAUGUUGCCAGCGGGUAAUGCCGGGGACUCGUGAGAGACUGCCGGGGUCAACUCGGAGGAAGGUGGGGAUGACGUCAAGUCAUCAUGCCCCUUAUGUCCAGGGCUUCACACAUGCUACAAUGGCCGGYAMAARGGGSUGCGAUGCCGUAAGGWUAAKCGAAUCCUUUUAAAKCCGRUCKCRGUUYGGAUYGGRSYCUGCAACUCGACCCCGUGAARUCGGAGUCGCUAGUMAUCGCAGAUCAGCAACGCUGCGGUGAAUACGUUCCCGGGCCUUGUACACACCGCCCGUCACGUCAUGAAAGUCGGUAACACCCGAAGC
rnacentral:rRNA from 1 species